UACGAAGGGUGCUAGCGUUGUUCGGCAUUACUGGGCGUAAAGCGUGCGUAGGCGGCUUGACAAGUCCGAUGUGAAAGCCCGGGGCUUAACCCCGGAUGUGCAUUGGAAACUGUCUUGCUGGAGGUCGGAAGGGGAAAGCGGAAUUCCUAGUGUAGAGGUGAAAUUCGUAGAUAUUAGGAGGAACACCAGUGGCGAAGGCGGCUUUCUGGUCCGAAUCUGACGCUGAGGCACGAAAGCGUGGGGAGCAAACAGG
rnacentral:rRNA from 1 species